CAACAGGGAUUGCCCUAGUAACGGCGAGUGAAGCGGCAACAGCUCAAAUUUGAAAUCUGGCGUCUUUGGCGUCCGAGUUGUAAUUUGCAGAGGGCGCUUUGGCAUUGGCAGCGGUCCAAGUUCCUUGGAACAGGACGUCACAGAGGGUGAGAAUCCCGUACGUGGUCGCUAGCCUUUACCGUGUAAAGCCCCUUCGACGAGUCGAGUUGUUUGGGAAUGCAGCUCUAAAUGGGAGGUAAAUUUCUUCUAAAGCUAAAUACUGGCCAGAGACCGAUAGCGCACAAGUAGAGUGAUCGAAAGAUGAAAAGCACUUUGGAAAGAGAGUUAAAAAGCACGUGAAAUUGUUGAAAGGGAAGCGCUUGCAGCCAGACUUGCCUGUAGUUGCUCAUCCGGGUUUUUACCCGGUGCACUCUUCUAUAGGCAGGCCAGCAUCAGUUUGGGCGGUUGGAUAAAGGUCUCUGUCAUGUAACUCUCUUCGGGGAGAACUUAUAGGGGAGACGACAUGCAACCAGCCUGGACUGAGGUCCGCGCAUCUGCUAGGAUGCUGGCGUAAUGGCUGUAAGCGGCCCGUCUUGAAACACGGACCAAGGAGUCUAACAUCUAUGCGAGUGUUUGGGUGUCAAGCCCGAGCGCGUAAUGAAAGUGAACGGAGGUGGGAACCUUUCGGGGUGCACCAUCGACCGAUCCUGAUGUCUUCGGAUGGAUUUGAGUAAGAGCAUAGCUGUUGGGACCCGAAAGAUGGUGAACUAUGCUUGAAUAGGGUGAAGCCAGAGGAAACUCUGGUGGAGGCUCGCAGCGGUUCUGACGUGCAAAUCGAUCGUCAAAUUUGGGCAUAGGGGCGAAAGACUAAUCGAACUAUCUAGUAGCUGGUUCCUGCCGAGUUUUUCCUU
rnacentral:rRNA from 1 species